GGCUGGCCAAAUGCAGUGGGGUUUACGCUAAUUGGUCACAACCAGUUACAGAUUUAUUUGUUCUCCUUCCGCUCCUGCCGCUUGACUAGCCUUUA
ensembl:Y_RNA Y_RNA Y RNA